AAGUCGUAACAAGGUUUCCGUAGGUGAACCUGCGGAAGGAUCAUUAAAGAUGUGCGCGAGCACUUUCCAUCCAUACACCUGUGCACCGUGGUCUCCGGACUUACAAACUUGAAGUCAUGAACGUCUAGAUGAUAAUGAAUAAAACUUUCAACAACGGAUCUCUUGGCUCUC
rnacentral:misc_RNA from 1 species